GCUACCGUAGCUCAACUGGCGAGAGUCUCGGACUAGCGCUUUGGAGGUCGCGGGUUCAAGUCCCAUCGACCA
rnacentral:tRNA from 1 species